rnacentral:rRNA from 1 species
CCAUUCGAAGUAAUUAGAAUCGAAGAAAACAAUAACAUAGUAAUUAGGAAUAAAAAGAACAAAGAACAGAAAGUUCAUAAGGAUAGGUUAAAAAUAUAUAAUUAAUGAAACGUUUUAUACAAAAUAAAUAACUAAAAAAAAAAAAAAAGGUCUGAUCAACCGAAAAAAAAAAAAAUUUUUAAUAAGUUUUUGUCUAAGAAAGUUAAAAAUAGAAGCAUAACGUAAUUAUAAACAACAACAAAAAAAAAUAUAAAAAAAAAAAAAAAUUCUUUUACACAAAUUAUUCUGAGACCAAACUUUUUCUAAUAGAAAGGAUAAAUAAGAAAUAAUAUAAGAAAAAAAAAUGUUUUAAUUAAUUAAAUGACUACAUAUAUUACGUCAUUUCUCUAAAAAGGGAGGUGUAGUGUAUCUACCCUCACUAUAACUCUACUCUACAUAUAUAUAAGUAACGUACAUACAUUGUGACACUUUGUUGCAAACACAAAUAAACAUAAUUCACAUCAAAGACCACAUGCACUUACAUAAACACUCCAGCCAAUGAAAUACGAUCUAACGCUUAUACAUAAGCCGAUCGCGGAGCGUGAGAACGCUGAGCAUGCACUUAGCAGCUCAAGUGGUCAAGCCAUACAUAACAUAUGUAUGCCUUCUGCAUACACAUGUAUAUGUAUAUACAAUAUGUACAAUAUGUAAGAACACCAUGUACGGGUAGCUGUACCCAAAGACAGCAACAUAGAAUUCAUUCAAAUAAAACGAUUCAAACGGAACAGACGCUCUGAGCUAUUCAAUAUCUAUUACACUGAGCUAUUACUUAUUACUUAUUACAUUAGUUUUUUAGCUAUUUAUAGCUAAUUAACACAAUCCCGGGGCGUUCUAUAUAGUUAUGUAUAAUGUAUAUUUAUAUUAUUUAUGCCUCUAACUGGAACGUACCUUGAGCAUAUAUGCUGUGACCCGAAAGAUGGUGAACUAUACUUGAUCAGGUUGAAGUCAGGGGAAACCCUGAUGGAAGACCGAAACAGUUCUGACGUGCAAAUCGAUUGUCAGAAUUGAGUAUAGGGGCGAAAGACCAAUCGAACCAUCUAGUAGCUGGUUCCUUCCGAAGUUUCCCUCAGGAUAGCUGGUGCAUUUUAAUAUUAUAUAAAAUAAUCUUAUCUGGUAAAGCGAAUGAUUAGAGGCCUUAGGGUCGAAACGAUCUUAACCUAUUCUCAAACUUUAAAUGGGUAAGAACCUUAACUUUCUUGAUAUGAAGUUCAAGGUUAUGAUAUAAUGUGCCCAGUGGGCCACUUUUGGUAAGCAGAACUGGCGCUGUGGGAUGAACCAAACGUAAUGUUACGGUGCCCAAAUUAACAACUCAUGCAGAUACCAUGAAAGGCGUUGGUUGCUUAAAACAGCAGGACGGUGAUCAUGGAAGUCGAAAUCCGCUAAGGAGUGUGUAACAACUCACCUGCCGAAGCAACUAGCCCUUAAAAUGGAUGGCGCUUAAGUUGUAUACCUAUACAUUACCGCUAAAGUAGAUGAUUUAUAUUACUUGUGAUAUAAAUUUUGAAACUUUAGUGAGUAGGAAGGUACAAUGGUAUGCGUAGAAGUGUUUGGCGUAAGCCUGCAUGGAGCUGCCAUUGGUACAGAUCUUGGUGGUAGUAGCAAAUAAUCGAAUGAGACCUUGGAGGACUGAAGUGGAGAAGGGUUUCGUGUGAACAGUGGUUGAUCACGAGUUAGUCGGUCCUAAGUUCAAGGCGAAAGCCGAAAAUUUUCAAGUAAAACAAAAAUGCCUAACUAUAUAAACAAAGCGAAUUAUAAUACACUUGAAUAAUUUUGAACGAAAGGGAAUACGGUUCCAAUUCCGUAACCUGUUGAGUAUCCGUUUGUUAUUAAAUAUGGGCCUCGUGCUCAUCCUGGCAACAGGAACGACCAUAAAGAAGCCGUCGAGAGAUAUCGGAAGAGUUUUCUUUUCUGUUUUAUAGCCAUACUACCAUGGAAGUCUUUCGCAGAGAGAUAUGGUAGAUGGGCUAGAAGAGCAUGACAUAUACUGUUGUGUCGAUAUUUUCUCCUCGGACCUUGAAAAUUUAUGGUGGGGACACGCAAACUUCUCAACAGGCCGUAUCAAUAUCCGCAGCUGGUCUCCAAGGUGAAGAGUCUCUAGUCGAUAGAAUAAUGUAGGUAAGGGAAGUCGGCAAAUUAGAUCCGUAACUUCGGGAUAAGGAUUGGCUCUGAAGAUUGAGAUAGUCGGGCUUGAUUGGGAAACAAUAACAUGGUUUAUGUGCUCGUUCUGGGUAAAUAGAGUUUCUAGCAUUUAUGUUAGUUACUUGUUCCCCGGAUAGUUUAGUUACGUAGCCAAUUGUGGAACUUUCUUGCUAAAAUUUUUAAGAAUACUAUUUGGGUUAAACCAAUUAGUUCUUAUUAAUUAUAACGAUUAUCAAUUAACAAUCAAUUCAGAACUGGCACGGACUUGGGGAAUCCGACUGUCUAAUUAAAACAAAGCAUUGUGAUGGCCCUAGCGGGUGUUGACACAAUGUGAUUUCUGCCCAGUGCUCUGAAUGUCAAAGUGAAGAAAUUCAAGUAAGCGCGGGUCAACGGCGGGAGUAACUAUGACUCUCUUAAGGCGUUGGAUUUUCUAUCUAUCGUCGGCCUCAAACUUAAUGCCGACAAAUGUUUUACCGUUGGCAUUAAGGGCCAGCCGAAACAGAAGUGUACCGUGUUAGAGGCACAGAGCUUCUACGUAGGCUCGAGUGAGAUUCCAUCACUGAAGCGCACGGACGAGUGGAAGUACUUAGGCAUCAACUUCACUGCAACCGGGAGGGUUCGAUGCAAUCCGGCCGAGGACAUUGGUCCAAAGCUACAAAGAUUGACAAAGGCUCCCCUCAAAUAACAACAGAGGUUGUUCGCCCUUCGGACUGUCCUUAUCCCACAGCUCUACCACAAGUUAGCCCUUGGGAGUGUGGCGAUAGGCGUCCUAAGAAAAACUGAUAAACUUAUAAGAUAUUAUGUGCGAAGAUGGCUAAAUCUUCCGCUGGAUGUGCCGAUAGCAUUUGUUCAUGCACCCCCAAAAAGUGGAGGUCUCGGAAUUCCACCACUAAGAUGGGUAGCUCCAAUGUUAAGGCUAAGACGCUUGAGUAACAUUAAAUGGCCUCACCUCACGCAAAACGAGGUAGCCAGCUCUUUCCUCGAAGCCGAAAAACAACGGGCCCGAGAUAGAUUAUUAGCUGAACAAAAUGAACUGUUAUCGCGUCCGGCAAUAGAAAAAUAUUGGGCGAACAAGUUGU